rnacentral:rRNA from 1 species
AUGAACGCUAGCGGGAGGCUUAACACAUGCAAGUCGAGGGGCAGCAUUACUUUCGGGUAGAUGGCGACCGGCGCACGGGUGCGUAACGCGUAUGCAACCUGCCUUAUACAGGAGGAUAGCCCAUGGAAACGUGGAUUAACACUCCAUAGUAUCGUUAAUUCGCAUGAAUAUACGAUUAAAACUACGGUGGUAUAAGAUGGGCAUGCGUAGGAUUAGGUAGUUGGUGAGGUAAAGGCUCACCAAGCCGACGAUCCUUAGGGGUUCUGAGAGGAUUAUCCCCCACACUGGUACUGAGACACGGACCAGACUCCUACGGGAGGCAGCAGUGAGGAAUAUUGGUCAAUGGGCGCAAGCCUGAACCAGCCAUGUCGCGUGCAGGAUGACUGCCCUAUGGGUUGUAAACUGCUUUUUUACGGGAAUAAACGCAAUUACGUGUAAUUGUCUGAAGGUACCGUAAGAAUAAGGAUCGGCUAACUCCGUGCCAGCAGCCGCGGUAAUAC